rnacentral:rRNA from 1 species
GCACAAGCGGUGGAGCAUGUGGUUAAUUCGACGCAACGCGAAGAACCUUACCAGGGCUUGACAUCCCCUGACCGCGUAUGAAAGUACGUUUUCACCCUCGGGUGACAGGGAGACAGGUGGUGCAUGGUUGUCGUCAGCUCGUGUCGUGAGAUGUUGGGUUAAGUCCCGCAACGAGCGCAACCCCUACGUUUAGUCGCUAACAGGUGAAGCUGAGCACUCUAGACGAACUGCCGUUGACAAAACGGAGGAAGGUGGGAUGACGUCAAAUCAUCAUGCCCCUUAUGUUCUGGGCUACACACGUGCUACAAUGGCCGGUACAGACGGAGGCGAAGCCGCGAGGCGGAGCAAAUCCGAAAAAGCCGGUCUCAGUUCGGAUUGCAGGCUGCAAUUCGCCUGCAUGAAGUCGGAAUCGCUAGUAAUCGCAGGUCAGCAUACUGCGGUGAAUACGUUCCCGGGCCUU